UGGAGGAUACGUAAAUGGUCCAGAACCUGGGCUGUUAGCCUGUGGUGCUUCACGUUGGUUGGUACAUCUUUACCAAAGUUAUGCUGAUGGUAGAGAGGAAAUAAUUGCUUUUGAUUUUAGGAAGGAGGAGUUUCAGAUGCUGCCGCUGCCUUCUUUUACUGAAGUGUUCGACCAUAAUAUUCUAGCUGUCCUUCAAGGAUGUUUAUGUGUGUACUCAGUUUAGGCUACAACUCAGGUUACACUAUAUGUUAUGAAGCCAUAUGGGGUGAAAAAUGAGGAUUGGACCAAGGUGUUGACUGUUACGCAAGAUGCUAUUCCUAGGGAUUUUUUUGAAUACGUUAGGCCUUUGAUGUAUUCAAAGAGCGGUGAUAAAUUACUCUUUGAGGAGACCUUCCAAAGACUUCUUUGGUAUGACUUGGAAGAGAAAAAAGGUUUCGAGAUUGAGAUAGGAAACAAGCCUCCUGCAUUCCUUGUAGAGGUUUGUUUGGAAAGUCUUGUUAUGCUAGGUGAAGACGAUAGUUUUGAUGGAUGUGAUGAAUCUAAUAGUGACGAUGAAUCUCAUGGGAUUGAAGAUAAAAAAACUAGUGGAUGAGAGGGAUAUGACAAUGGGAGACGAAGCAUUAGACCUCAUGCUAUUGGCAGCAACAGCUGUAGGAGAAGGGCAGGAGGCAGCUGAAAUACAAGGAGGCAGGCCUGCUGGUAUUGAUGACCUUGACCGGUGAUGAUCAAUUGAUGUGAAGGAAUCAAAUUGAUGGAAAACAGGGUAAGGGACUAAAUAAGAAGUCCAGGUAAUUUGUCAAAGUUUAUUUGAUGGAUUGCUCUUUCAUUCAUGUAGUCAGUGAAGUCUUUAUGUUUUAGUGAUUUUUGUGUUACACUUACAGAUUAAGUUUAGAUUAUACUUGAGCAAAAUUAAGCAUAUUACCCAUGUAUCAUACAACCCUAGUAACAUUAGAGAGAGAAAAAUAUGAAGAAUUGAUUUGGCCAACUUUUCUGUUUAUUGAAAUACUUUACUUCAUUUUUUCUCAUUCAUCAUGUAAUGGCCUAUUAUGUAAAAGUUUCUAUUUCCAUGUCUUCUUCAGGUUGGUGAAAUUAUUCUCAUCUUUACUCAUAUUUGAAUGAAUAAAGCAGGACUGGAUGGGGAAAAAAACUUGCGAGUUACUGAAUAUUGUUGAAGAUGGUUCAUGGUACUGUUUUUUUCCAUUUGUUUUU